GAUGAACGCUGGCGGCGUGCCUAAUACAUGCAAGUCGAGCGAACAGACGAGGAGCUUGCUCCUCUGACGUUAGCGGCGGACGGGUGAGUAACACGUGGAUAACCUACCUAUAAGACUGGGAUAACUUCGGGAAACCGGAGCUAAUACCGGAUAAUAUAUUGAACCGCAUGGUUCAAUAGUGAAAGACGGUUUUGCUGUCACUUAUAGAUGGAUCCGCGCCGCAUUAGCUAGUUGGUAAGGUAACGGCUUACCAAGGCGACGAUGCGUAGCCGACCUGAGAGGGUGAUCGGCCAAAGUAGAACUGAGAAACGGUCCAGACGUCUAAAGGAGGCAGCAGUAGGGAAUCUUCAGCUAGGGGCGAAAGCCUGACGGAGCAACGCCGCGUGGGUGAUGAAGGUCUUCGGAUCGUAAAACUCUGUUAUUAGGGAAGAACAAAUGUGUAAGUAACUAUGCACGUCUUGAAGGUACCUAAUCAGAAAGCCACGGCUAACUACGUG
rnacentral:rRNA from 1 species